AGUGGUGUGGCAUAGUGGCUUGAGCAUUGGACUAUAAGUCUGGAGACUAGGGUUCAAUUCCCAGCUCAGCCA